rnacentral:rRNA from 1 species
GGUGAUAAGGGCGUAUGGUGGAUGCCUAGACACAACAGAGCGAUGAAGGACGUGGCGUGGCUGCGAUAAGCUUCGGGGAGCUGCUUAGCAAGCUUUGAUCCGGAGAUUUCCGAAUGGGGGAACCCCGUCAGGUAAACCCUGAUGACUCUAAUUUACUUUAGAGAGCGUACCUGGGGAAGUGAAACAUCUCAGUACCCAGAGGAACAGAGAAAAAUUUUUAUUCCCUGAGUAGCGGCGAGCGAAACGGGAAGAGCCCAAACCAUUUACUAUUCUUCGCACUAAGUGCAUGUUUCAUGCAUUUGGUGUGGAGUAUAUAAGUGGGGUUGUAAGAUAAAAAUUUUUUUGAGUUUUAAGUCUCGACGAAUUGUCGGGAUUCCCGACUUUCAUUUUUUUAGAAAGUGCGUCGGGACUUGAACUUAAGACAGAGGUUAUAAAUGUAUUAUUUAGUGGAAUCUGCUGGAAAGCAGAACCAGAGACGGUGAUAGUCCCGUACACGAAAGGUAAUACACCUUUGGUUUUUAUUCUUGAGUACUUCGAGGCAAACAAACCUUGAGGGAAUCUACCAGUACUAUCUGGUAAGGCUAAAUAUAUGUUGUGAUCGAUAGUGAACAAGUACCGUGAGGGAAAGGUGAAAAGUAUCCCGGUGAGGGAGAUGAAAUAGUAUCUGAAACCAUACGCUUACAAGGAGGUGGAGCUCGCAAGAGUGACACCGUGCCUAUUGAAGAAUGAACCAACGACUUAUCGUACAUGGCUAGUCUAAGUUCUACGGAACGGAGGCGUAGGGAAACCAAGUGUUAAUAGCGCGUUCAGCCGUGUGUGAUAGACCCGAAGCCAAGCGAGCUUGCCCUGGUCAGGAUGAACCAACUGUAAAAGGUUGGGGAGGUCCGCACCAGUAGGUUGUGUAAAGCCUUUGGAUGAACUGGGGUAAGAAGUGAAAAGCUAAUCGAGCUUGGUAAUAGCUGGUUCUCUCCGAAACAGUUUUAGGACUGGCGUUAGGCGUUAAACAUACUGGAGGUAGAGCUACUGGUUGAGAAGUAUAGGGAGAAAUCUCGACUUUUCAGUCAAACUCCGAAUGCCAGUAUCGUUUGUCUAGCAGUUAGACCGUGGGGGCUAAGCUCCAUGGUCGCAAGGGAAACAGCCCAGAUCGCAGUCUAAGGUCCCUAAAUUGUUGCUAAGUGUAAAAGGUAGUAAUCGACCAGAGACAGAUAGUAGGUUGGCUUAGAGGCAGCCAUCCUUUAAAGAGUGCGUAACAGCUCACUAUUCGAUGGUCGGUUGCGCCGAAAAUGUAUCGGGGCUUAAGCAACAUACCGAAGACGCGGGUUUACUUUUUUUCGAAAGAGUAAGCGGUAGGAGAGCAUUUUACGGGCGUUGAAGUCUGAGCCGUGAGGCAGGAUGGAGCGCGUAGAAGAGAGAAUGUUGGUAUGAGUAACCACAUUGCUUGUGAGAAACGAGCACCCCGAAAGUCCAAGGUUUCCGUGGCAAUGGCAAUCAGCCACGGGUUAGGCGAUCCUAAGGCAAUGGCAAACGCUGUAGUCGAUGGGUAGUCGGUUAAUAUUCCGGCCCGUCUUAUAUAUUCGAUGGAGGGACGGAGCGUAGUAGGUUUUGUGCCUUAAUGGUUUGGCAUCUGUGACUUAGGAGGACGUUUAGGUAAAUCCGGACGUCGUCUUCAAUGACAACUCCAAGGAAAGCAGUUAGAGGAGGUUAUUGCCUUCUCAAGAAGACUGAGCACGCUUCCAAGAAAAGCUUCUAAGAUUAGUAUGUAAGACUUCGUACCAAAACCAACACAGGUGGACAGGGCGAGUAGCCCAAGGGGAACGAGUGAGUCCUCGUCAAGGAACUCGGCAAAUUAGCGGCCGUAACUUCGGGAUAAGGCCUGCCUAUCGCAAGAUAGGCCGCAGCGAAAGAAUCCCUGGCGACUGUUUACCAAAAACACAGCUCCCUGCGAACUCGAAAGAGGAUGUAUAGGGGGUGACGCCUGACCGAUGCGAGAAGGUUAACGGUGGGGGUGAUCNNNNNNNNNNNNNNNNNNNNNNNNNNNNNNAACUAUAAUCGUUCUAAGGUAGCGCAUUUCCUUUCCGGGUAAGUUCCGGAGCGCACGAAUGGCGUAACGACUGGGGAACUGUCUCGACGAGGAGCUCGGUGAAAAUGCGAUGCCCGUGAAGACGCGGGCUACCUGCAGCAAGACGAAAAGACCCCGGAAGCUUUACUGCAGCUUGAUAUUGGGUUUAGGGCUUAUCUGCGUAGCAUAGUGAGGAGACUUUGAAGCUUAGGUUUUGGCUUAAGUGGAGUCGCUAGUGAAAUACUCAUCUUUUAAAUCUUAAAUUCUAACCCCGACGGAAAAAACGGCGUGGGACAGUGUCUGGUAGGCAGUUUGAAUGGGGCGUUCUCCUCCCAAAAUGUAACGGAGGAGUUUAUCAAGGUUGGCUUGGCCCGGAUUGAAAUCGGGCUGGACGGGUAAACCCAUAAGCCAGCUUAACGGCAAGACAUACACGUCGCGCCGGUACGAAAGUAGAAGUUAGUGACCCGAUGGCACUUUAUAGGAAGGCCUGAGACAUCGGAUAAAAGCUACUCCGGGGAUAACAGGCUGGUCUCCUCCGAGCGUCCAUAGCGACGAGGAGGUUCGGCACCUCGAUGUCGGCUCGUCACAUCCUGGGGGUGAAGAAGCUCCCAAGGGUUUGGCUGUUCGCCAAUUAAAGUGGCACGCGAGCUGGGUUCAGACCGUCAACAAUGAACCCUAAACAUUCGUAACGUGAAUGUUCGAGCGACUGAAAGGUUUAGCUCAGAAGACAUCGAUCUCAUACGGCGGCUUUCGCGAGUAAUCGUGAUCGAAUAAAUCGACUCAUAUCGGUGAAAUCCUUACACGCGUUGAAAAACAACCUGUCGUGUGUUAGGGUAAUACCGAGGGAAGUCACAUUCCUUUUUGUCUCAAGACUAGAUUCAUGAAUCGUAUCAAUGCUGCUUACCUCGCGGGAUUCCUUGAUGGUGAUGGUAGUAUUUAUGUUCGUCUUAAACCGAACAAUACAUACCGUUAUAAAUUCCAGAUCAGUCCUCAAAUCGUCUUUUUUCAGUCAAAGAAAGAAGAGCUUUUUAUGGAUCGAUUGUGGCAACUCAUCGACAAAGGAUAUAUCCGCAAAAGAAAGGAUGGUAUCAUCGAACUUACGAUUGGUGACGAAGAUUCAAUUCGCACGUUCAUCAAAGUUGUUCUGCCUUAUUUAAGGCUUAAGCAAAAGCAAGCAAGACUUAUGAUUAAUAUUCUUAACAAGAGAAAGAGUAUUAAAAAUGGUUUUGACUUUCUUACUGUUGCGAAAAUGAUUGAUGAAUUUAAGAAUUUGAAUUACUCAAAGAAGCGAAGUCAAACUUCGCGCGAAGUUGAAAAAGUCUUGAGAACAGAAGGUUUAUUGACCCCUUAGAGACUUGGUCCGAAGCACUUCGGGUCAGAUGGAAAUCUUUUUAGAUUCCAUAACACGUCGAUCCCCCAAUAUUUAUGUUGGGGUGGUGGUAUAGUCCAUACCCGUAGUAAUACGGGAUUACAUCUUAGAAAUUUUUAACAUUUUCUAGAUAUAUGCGUGAGACAGGUUGGUCUCUAUCUGCUGCAGGCGUUAUUAUCUGAGGGGAGCUGUCCCUAGUACGAGAGGACCGGGAUGGACGAACCGCUGGUCUACCAGCUUUGGUACCAACUGAAUCGCUGGGUAGCUAUGUUCGGCAUGGAUAAGCGCUGAAAGCAUCUAAGCACGAAGCCAACCCCAAGAUUAGAUAAUUCUUAGCUUCGGCUAAGAGCGGUUCGUGGAAGACUACCACGUUGAUAGGCUCUCGGUGUACGCACCGUAAGGUGUUUAGCCAAGGAGUACUAAUAGACCGUA